rnacentral:rRNA from 1 species
GAUGAACGCUGGCGGCGUGCCUAAUACAUGCAAGUCGAGCGAACAGACGAGGAGCUUGCUCCUCUGACGUUAGCGGCGGACGGGUGAGUAACACGUGGAUAACCUACCUAUAAGACUGGGAUAACUUCGGGAAACCGGAGCUAAUACCGGAUAAUAUAUUGAACCGCAUGGUUCAAUAGUUAAAGACGGUUUUGCUGUCACUUAUAGAUGGAUCCGCGCCGCAUUAGCUAGUUGGUAAGGUAACGGCUUACCAAGGCAACGAUGCGUAGCCGACCUGAGAGGGUGAUCGGCCACACUGGAACUGAGACACGGUCCAGACUCCUACGGGAGGCAGCAGUAGGGAAUCUUCCGCAAUGGGCGAAAGCCUGACGGAGCAACGCCGCGUGAGUGAUGAAGGUCUUCGGAUCGUAAAACUCUGUUAUUAGGGAAGAACAAUUGUGUAAGUAACUAUGCACGUCUUGACGGUACCUAAUCAGAAAGCCACGGCUAACUACGUG